rnacentral:rRNA from 1 species
ACGAACGCUGGCGGCGUGCUUAACACAUGCAAGUCGAACGGAAAGGCCCCUUGGGGGGACCCCAGUUGGGAAAGGGGUGAGAAACACUGGAGUAACCUGCCCUGACCUCCGGGUUAACUUCGGGAAACGGGGGCUAUAACCGAAUGGAAUUCCUGCCUCCAUGGUGGGGGUGGGAAAGCUUCGGCGGUUUGGGAUGGACCCGCGGCUUAUCGGCUGGUGGGGGGGGUGGUGGCUUACCAAGGCUUUGACGGGUAGCCGGCCUGAGAGGGCGACCGGCCACAUUGGGACUGAGAUACGGCCCAGACUCCUACGGGAGGCAGCAGUGGGGAAUAUUGCACAAUGGGCGGAAGCCUGAUGCAGCAACGCCGCGUGCGGGAUGACGGCCUUCGGGUUGUAAACCGCUUUCAGCAGGGGCGAAGCUUGUGGUGACGGUACCUGCAGAAGAAGCACCGGCUAACUACGUG